CAUGCAGUCGAGCGGUAGCACAGAGAGCUUGCUCUCGGGUGACGAGCGGCGGACGGGUGAGUAAUGUCUGGGAAACUGCCUGAUGGAGGGGGAUAACUACUGGAAACGGUAGCUAAUACCGCAUAAUGUCGCAAGACCAAAGUGGGGGACCUUCGGGCCUCAUGCCAUCAGAUGUGCCCAGAUGGGAUUAGCUAGUAGGUGGGGUAACGGCUCACCUAGGCGACGAUCCCUAGCUGGUCUGAGAGGAUGACCAGCCACACUGGAACUGAGACACGGUCCAGACUCCUACGGGAGGCAGCAGUGGGGAAUAUUGCACAAUGGGCGCAAGCCUGAUGCAGCCAUGCCGCGUGUGUGAAGAAGGCCUUCGGGUUGUAAAGACCUUUUCAGCGGGGAGGAGGGCGGUGAGGUUAAUAACCUCAUCGAUUGACGUUACCCGCAGAAGAAGCACCGGGUAGCUGCGUGCCAGCAGCCGCGGUAAUACGGAGGGUGCAAGCGUUAAUCGGAAUUACUGGGCGUAAAGCGCACGCAGGCGGUCUGUCAAGUCGGAUGUGAAAUCCCCGGGCUCAACCUGGGAACUGCAUUCGAAACUGGCAGGCUAGAGUCUUGUAGAGGGGGGUAGAAUUCCAGGUGUAGCGGUGAAAUGCGUAGAGAUCUGGAGGAAUACCGGUGGCGAAGGCGGCCCCCUGGACAAAGACUGACGCUCAGGUGCGAAAGCGUGGGGAGCAAACAGGGAUUAGAUACCCUGGUAGUCCACGCCGUAAACGAUGUCGAUUUGGAGGUUGUGCCCUUGAAGCGUGCUUCCGGAGCUAACGCGUUAAAUCGACCGCCUGGGGAGUACGCCGCAAGUUAAACUCCAAGGAAUUGACGG
rnacentral:rRNA from 1 species